CGAACGGGUGAGUAACGCGUGAGGAACCUGCCUCAAAGAGGGGGGAAACAGUUGGAAACGACUGCUAAUACCGCAUAAGCCCACGGCUCGGCAUCGAGCAGAGGGAAAAGGAACAAUCCGCUUUGAGAUGGCCUCGCGUCCGAUUAGCUAGUUGGUGAGGUAACGGCCCACCAAGGCGACGAUCGGUAGCCGGACUGAGAGGUUGAACGGCCACAUUGGGACUGAGACACGGCCCAG
rnacentral:rRNA from 1 species